rnacentral:rRNA from 1 species
AGAGUUUGAUCCUGGCUCAGGAUGAACGCUGGCGGCGUGCCUAAUACAUGCAAGUCGAGCGAACAGAUAAGGAGCUUGCUCCUUUGACGUUAGCGGCGGACGGGUGAGUAACACGUGGGUAACCUACCUAUAAGACUGGAAUAACUCCGGGAAACCGGGGCUAAUGCCGGAUAAUAUUUAGAACCGCAUGGUUCUAAAGUGAAAGAUGGUUUUGCUAUCACUUAUAGAUGGACCCGCGCCGUAUUAGCUAGUUGGUGGGGUAAUGGCUUACCAAGGCAACGAUACGUAGCCGACCUGAGAGGGUGAUCGGCCACACUGGAACUGAGACACGGUCCAGACUCCUACGGGAGGCAGCAGUAGGGAAUCUUCCGCAAUGGGCGGAAGCCUGACGGAGCAACGCCGCGUGAGUGAUGAAGGUCUUCGGAUCGUAAAACUCUGUUAUUAGGGAAGAACAAAUGUGUAAGUAACUGUGCACGUCUUGACGGUACCUAAUCAGAAAGCCACGGCUAACUACGUG